rnacentral:rRNA from 1 species
GACGAACGCUGGCGGCGUGCUUAACACAUGCAAGUCGAACGGUAAGGCUCCAGCUUGCUGGGGUACACGAGUGGCGAACGGGUGAGUAACACGUGGGUGACCUGCCCUGCACUUCGGGAUAAGCCUGGGAAACUGGGUCUAAUAACGGAUAGGACCAUGGUGUGGAUACUGUUGUGGAAAGUUUUUUCGGUGUGGGAUGGGCUCGCGGCCUAUCAGCUUGUUGGUGGGGUAAUGGCCUACCAAGGCGGCGACGGGUAGCCGGCAUGUGAGGGUGGACGGCCACAUUGGGACUGAGACACGGCCCAGACUCCUACGGGAGGCAGCAGUGGGGAAUAUUGCACAAUGGGCGGAAGCCUGAUGCAGCGACGCCGCGUGGGGGAUGACGGCCUUCGGGUUGUAAACACCUUUCACCAUCGACGAAGGGUUUCUGACGGUAGAUGGAGAAGAAGCACCGGCUAACUACGUG